rnacentral:rRNA from 1 species
CCCUUAGAUGUUCUGGGCUGCACGCGCGCUACACUGAUGCACUCAACGAGUUUACGACCUUGUCCGAGAGGAUUGGGUAAUCUUUUUAAAAUGCAUCGUGAUGGGGAUAGAUUAUUGCAAUUAUUAAUCUUCAACGAGGAAUUCCUAGUAAGCGCGAGUCAUCAGCUCGUGCUGAUUACGUCCCUGCCCUUUGUACACACCGCCCGUCGCUCCUACCGAUUGGGUGAGCCGAUGAAACUCUCGGAUGUAGGCUAUUCAUAGCCCGCAGAAGAGAUUUGAAUCGUAGCGCUUAGAGGAAGGAGAAGUCGUAACA